ACUGUGUUGCGGACAGCCAUGAUCCCUCUGAACUAAGCGGCCGCGCACUUCCUCCAGGACUGCUGCACAGAAGAAACGCCAUGCUACACAGAGGUGGAAGAGAUUGAACUUCACUGAGUUCAACCCCAUUAGUUUGCACUAUAUAGAUCAAUGUUUUAUCAGGGAUCGAAUCAAUAUUAUGUCAGCCUAUUUACAAUGCAACAAAACAUAACAAAUCAAAUUGUCCAAGAUUGAGUCUGUGAUUUUGUUGUUGGCAGAGCCACAGCACAACGGAGUAGAAUUUAAUUGGCAGGGGGUUGCGCAAGACUGGUCUUUCAAUCACCCAGGAGUGAACGCGCUUUUCACAUCAGUUCAGAUCAGAGCGGCUCGUGUGCACAUUUGUUGAUAUUCUUUGCUAGUUUACGAGUUAUUAGCCCAGUUAUACAUUAGUAUGGGUAUAGGAGCACAAAACGAGGAGCCUACACUUCAAGCUGUCUUUGAAAAGCCAGUCAGGUCUGCUCUCCUUCCAGGUUUUAGUCUCAGUAGACAGGAAGUACCAACUGGAUUUUAACUUCUGCCAGCCUUCAGGACAGAGCAAACGACCAUGCAG